rfam:Erinaceus europaeus unplaced genomic scaffold scaffold00088, whole genome shotgun sequence
CCAGCCUGGAUACUCUGGGAGGUCACUCUCCCCAGGCUCUGUCCAGGUGGUACAUGGGAGUGCAGGGCUCUGCCCUAUGAUAUAUAUUCCCUUUCCACAGUGUUGGAUAUGAAACUGGGCCUCUGAGUGUGUGCCUUCAGUUUCUUAGAGUCCCAUGGACCAUGACUGAGGGAACAAUCCAUGCAGGAAACAAUU